rnacentral:lncRNA from 1 species
AACAAAUCAAUCAGAACACUAAGCAACCCUGAAAUACUGUGCUUGAUCACUUUCUAUAAUCCGCUGUAACGUGCUCCUAAACAUACAGACCUCUUAGUGUAUUUAAAAUGAUUCAGUUUACUAAAGCAUAAUAAAAAACUUCUUGAGAAUCCACAGUUAAGAUGGCAGGUGUCCUCAUCUGUAUGUGCUGCACCAACAACAUUCUUGGAAGGGAGCGGUCCUACCAAACGACGACAGUCCUGAAAUAGAUGUGGAAUCCACUGAUGCAGCACACAGGGGAAUGCCACCGGAAGCUCUGAUCAAAGGGGACUGUGAGCUCCAGAAUUCCUGAUUGCGUUCAUCACAGAUGCCAAGUCUGUCAAAUUCUAAAGCAGGAAGUCAAUGGAACACAGAAAUCACAGAUUCUGAACAUAAUUCAAUGUUGAACGAUUCAAUUAAAUUUGAUUCAAACGUUUGGACUACAUGGCCCCCAUUUGACAAUGGAAGACUGGGACAAAAGACAUGCAGCAGAUCCUGAUGGAGCAACCUCAAGUGCCGGCCAAGCCCCUCCUGCUCCUCCUCUGCAUUAGGAAUUCUGCAAAUGAGUGAUGGUUCACAGGGGGCUCGAUCACAGAAAAGCAGUUGUUGAUCUUUGGCUGCCUGCAGGCCUGCAAUCUGUGCUACAAGUUUAUCCCUCCCAGAAAAAGCAAAAUAAAGAAGGACGAGACAAGAGGAUGGAACCAAUACAAGCAUCUGUAACAAGCUAAUUGGACCCUUGUGGGCCACCAGCAAGCACGAAACUAAAACAAACAGAGCCUCACAUUGUGCACCUUCAGGACCAGAUCCAUCCUGGGUCUGUCAGCUUUUCCCCUGCCUCCUCCCCUGACCCCCAUUUUUAAAGGACCUAAUUAUGGCUCUUUCCAAAGGAUCACAAGCCAGUUUUCAUCUAAAAAGAAUAAGGUAUUAUGCCUCCGAACUGGAGACACUGUUAGAAGUUGGUAAUUAGUAUGACUUGUUAAUAGAGUUUGGCUGUGAUUAAGCAGUGAUUGAGCGCGAGUUUGGUGCCUGUCAGUGGGGAAGCCUGAGGAGGGUGAGAGAUGUUUAAUGAGACACCUGUUGUUGGGGGUCCACUGGGGUUUGUUGCAGCUGAUUGGCACUUGGAUGCAGUGCGCUCGGUGCUGGGGGCUGGGCUGAGCCUGGCAGGUGGUUGGCACCAGAGCGGAGCUCGCCGCUCCCAGCAAGUCAGGGCUGGCUGAGUUUUCCGAGCUGUCUGUCCACGGCUGCAGCCACAUGUUCCCACAUGAUCUAGGUGGUGGGCUGACUGACUGUGCGCCAACCCCCAGCGGGCACUGCCCCUACUCUGCAAGAGGAAGAUCUCCAGGUCCCCCGUGACCCUCGCUCCCAACCAAGCACCGGGCGGGGCAUUGGGCACUCCUCCUCUCAUCCAGCCUCUCCUGUCCCCAGUGUAUAGCUGGGGAAACUGAGGCAAGGGAGGUUAAAUAGUUUGCCUAAGCUCACAGCCACCUCCAGGGCCCGAUGCACUGUAUGCAGAGCCAGCACCUCUCAAACCUUAAAAUGAUCCCUGGGGAGUGUGUUAAAACGCAGAGUCUGAGAGAGUAGGUCUUGGGUGGGGCUGGAGAGACCACCUUCCUAAGAGCUUCCCGGCAGUGCCCAUACUUUGAAUGAAGUCGGCAGGGUACUUCCUUGUACUAGAGUCACACAGAACCCCCUAAGAGAGAGAUGCUUAUCGUGCAUUUCAAUUUUAUGACUAGACCACAUCUUGCCUUUUGGAAGGGACAUACAUAGUAGUAAUAUACCUCAUCUUUGCCCAGAAACAGAGCCUGAUGCUAGAGAUGUUGGGGAACUCUCUAUCUAAGGGUGUAGUGUGUGGUGGAUGGGGCAAGUGG